rnacentral:rRNA from 1 species
AAAGGGUGCGUAGGCGGCCUGUUAAGUCAGGGGUGAAAGACGGUAGCUCAACUAUCGCAGUGCCCUUGAUACUGAUGGGCUUGAAUGGACUAGAGGUAGGCGGAAUGAGACAAGUAGCGGUGAAAUGCAUAGAUAUGUCUCAGAACACCGAUUGCGAAGGCAGCUUACUAUGGUCUUAUUGACGCUGAGGCACGAAAGCGUGGGGAUCAAACAGGAUUAGAUACCCUAGA